rnacentral:lncRNA from 1 species
AAAAGUAUAAAAUUGAAUAUUUUAAUUUAAAAUAUAAAUAUGAAAUUUAUAAAUUUAAAAUCUAAAAUUUAAAUAUAAAUUAAAUUUUACAAUUUAAAGUCUAAAUUUAAAAUUUAAAAUUUAGAAUUUAAAAUACAAAUUUGAAUUUUAAAAUUUAAAAUUUUAGAUUAAAAUUUAAAAUUUAAAUUUAAAAUUCAAAAUUUGAAGCUUAAAUUUUAAAUUUUUAAAAUUAAAAAUUAAAGUUCAAAAUUUUAAAUUAAAAUUUCUAAAAUGACAUAUUAAAAGAGUUUCGGGAGUUAGAGGGGUAAAUUUGUAAUUUUAUAUAACAUACAAAAUUAGCCGUUUUCAGUAAUCCAAAAUACACACACCCCUUCUCGAUAAUAUUUUUGGUGUAACAUUAUAUCUUUUGUAAUACUGCAAUACCGAAUAAAUUACAUACUGCAUGAACUAAACGCAAUAAUCCUAGCAGGAUUGCCUGUAGUCCUGCCAAGAUAACUCGAAUUAUGCUAUUAUACCAUCGAUAGUACCAAAUGUUUGUUGCUAUCGAGUUUUUGGCCGUUGAAUGAAAGAAUGUGCAGUUAAGAUAAUAGUGGUCCCCUAGGAUUGAGUAGGUGGUUAGUUGAAUAGUAUAAUCUAAUGAGUGGAAAUAAUCAAAUAGUAGAUCUAAUGGUAGAAAACUCGAAAGUACUAAGAGCUUGGUGCUAUCGAUAGUAUAGUAGCCGGACUCCAAUUAUCCCUAUAUGCUAGGGUUGAUUUCAUACA